AGGCAAGUGUGAAGGAGAUUUCA
rnacentral:siRNA from 1 species